GAUUUAGUCACCUAUGAUGGCCUGCAUGUGAACUUCACUCAGGAAGAGUGGGCUUUACUGGAUCCUUCUCAGAAGAAUCUCUACAAAGAUGUGAUGCUAGAGACCUAUAGGAAUCUCUCAGCUAUAGGUUACAUUUGGGAAGGACAUACAAGUGAAGACUAUUUUCAAACUUCUAGAAGUCAUGGAAGGCAUGAAAGAAAUUGUACUGCAGUGCAACACUCUGAGUUUAUUCAAUGUGGUAAAGCCUUUGCAUAUCAGAGUCUUAGACAAAGGCAUGAAAGAACACAUAAUGGAGAGAAAGACUAUUGCUGUAACCAAUGUGGUAAAAACUUUAUAAUAAGCAGUCAUCUCCAAAUACAUAAACGAAGAAAUACAGGAGACAAACCCUAUGAAUGUAACCAAUGUGGUAAAGCCUUUGCAGGAAGUGGUGACUUCCAAAAACAUAAACGAAGACAAAGAGGAGAGAAACCCUAUGAAUGUAACCAAUGUGGUAAAGCCUUUACAAAAAGCAGUAAUCUCCAAAUACAUGAGCGAACACAUACAGGAGAGAAAGCCUAUGAAUGUAACCAAUGUGGUAAAACUUUUAUAAGAAGUGGUCACCUCCGAAUACAUAAGCGAACACAUACAGGAGAGAAACCCUAUGAAUGUAACCAAUGUGGUAAAGCUUGUAUACAUAGUGGUAACCUCAAAAGACAUGAAAGAACACAUACAGGAGAGAAACUCAAUGAAGGCAUCUAAUGUUAUAAAACCUUUGCAGCAAGCAUUGUUCUCCAAGUAUAUAAAUGAACACAUACCAGAAAGGAACCUUGUAAAUGUAACCAACGUGGUAAAGCUUUUUCGAAAACCAAUCGUCUUUACACACAUAAAAGCACAUAUAGUUGAGAGAAAUGCUUUGACUUCAACCAAUGUAGUUAUACUUUUUCAAAAAGCAGUCAUGAACAAAAUCAUAAAAGAACACAUAUAGGAGAGAGAUUUUUGAAUGUUAGCAAUGUCCUUUUACACCUUAUUCACAAAGCAGUGGUCUCCAAAUAUAUAAAGAAAUACAUACAGGAGAGAAACCCUAUGAAUAUCAUCAAUGUUCUAAAGCCCUUCUACAUCACAAUCAUCUUCAAAUCCGUAAAGAACAUGAGGUGGAAAGAAAUCCUCUGAAUAUCACUAAUUAGGUAAAGUCAUUGUACAAAAGAGUCAUUUCCCAACACAAAAGUAUACACACUGGAUAGAAACCCUAUGAAUAUAAGAAUGUGGUAAACAUUUUAUAAGUCACAGUAGUCUCUAAGUAAAUAAAAGAAGACAGAGUUGAGAGAAACCCUAUGAAAGUUAUCAAAGGGACAAAGCCUUGUACAUAAAGAUCUUCAAAUACAUAAAAGUAGACAGAGGUGAGAAACCCUAUGUCUGUAAUGCAUGUGGCAUUGCCUAUACUUAUGAGUCAUAUUCAAAGACACACACAAAAAUCAUAAUAGAGACAAAAUCCUGUGAGAGUAUUUAAUAUGGUGAAGCUUUUUGAAUAUUUCUAGAGUCUUCACAAUGAAACAAUCCAUACUGCAAAGAAAUUUAGAAAUAUAAUAUGGUGAAACCUUUUCAGAUUUCCCAAAUCUUCAUCAUUAUGAAAGAGAAACCCUAUGAAUGCAUUCAAUAUGGGGAAGUCUUUAAGCAUUUCUAA
rnacentral:lncRNA from 1 species